UACGUAGGGGGCAAGCGUUGUCCGGAUUCAUUGGGCGUAAAGCGCGUGUAGGCGGCCAGGUAGGUCCGGUGUGAAAACUCGAGGCUCAACCUCGAGAGGUCAUUGGAAACCAUCUGGCUAGAGUCCGGAAGAGGAGAGUGGAAUUCCCGGUGUAGCGGUGAAAUGCGCAGAUAUCGGGAAGAACACCCAUGGCGAAGGCAGCUCUCUGGGACGGUACUGACGCUGAGACGCGAAAGCGUGGGGAGCGAACAGG
rnacentral:rRNA from 1 species